rnacentral:rRNA from 1 species
AUCAAUAAGCGGAGGAAAAGAAACUAACAAGGAUUCCCCUAGUAACGGCGAGUGAAGCGGGAUGAGCUCAAAUUUAAAAUCUGGCGGCCUCAGGUCGUCCGAGUUGUAGUCUAGAGAAUCGUUUUCCGCGUUGGCCUGUGUACAAGUCCCUUGGAACAGGGCGUCAUAGAGGGUGAGAAUCCCGUCCUUGACACAGACUACCAAUGCUUUGUGAUGCGAUCUCGAAGAGUCGAGUUGUUUGGGAAUGCAGCUCAAAAUGGGUGGUAAAUUCCAUCUAAAGCUAAAUAUUGGCGAGAGACCGAUAGCGAACAAGUACCGUGAGGGAAAGAUGAAAAGCACUUUGGAAAGAGAGUUAAACAGUACGUGAAAUUGUUAAAAGGGAAACGAUUGAAGUCAGUCAUGCUUUCCGAGACUCAGCCGAUUCUGUCGGUGUACUUCUCGGUUGGCAGGCCAGCAUCAGUUUCGAUCUGUGGAAAAGGUUGGAGGGAACGUGGCAUCCU